CCCAAUUACCCAUUCUCUUCCUUCUGUCCUAGAGAAAAAGAAUAGGGUUCAAGAGUUUUUAGCAUUGCAGCCUGUCUCCUUUCUUUCCUUUCAUAUUCAUAAAAAUAACAAGUUUUAUGUCAACCAUGGACAGAGGUGAGCUACUCCUUUUUCGUGCUAGUCAAUCACGUGAAUUUUGCAAAAUCUGUCCUAAAAGCUUCAAACGUUUGAAUUGGAAGAAAAUUUCAAAAUUUGAAAUUUUAUUUUCCGCUCAAGAACUGUGAUUCUCCCUUUAAGUACGUGUAUUUACAGUCCAUUUGAACAAGAUUUUUAGCCAUUGUUUUGCCCUAAAGGUUUUGAAGCGGCCUCAUUCCUUUCUUAAACUCUUUUAUUUAUCCUUCUAUUGUUAUUAUUGGAUUUGAUCUUUCUAAUCUUAUCGUUCGAGUUUGAGAAUAGACCUGCGAUUGAAGAACUUGAGUUCACUGCCCAACACUAGCUUGUUUGUUCUUUAACAAAUCUUGAUUUAACAUAAAGUGGUAGUAUUGAUCAUAUCAGGUCCAUACAUUGAGGCAUACAAAGCAUCGAUAAAAGAUUCUCCUAUUUAUUUUGGAACAACUCCAAUAAAGAGAGCUAGGAAGAAGACCCUCCAUAAGUUGGGUAUCGUAACAACAAAUUUCGACCAAAGUUGAAGUAUUUUUCAUACCCUUUUCCCUUUUUAUCAUUAAUUUUAUAUAUAGUAAUG